rnacentral:ncRNA from 1 species
AUUCUCAGGGCAGGGUGCAAUUCCCGACCGGCGGUAAGUAUGAGGCAUGAACCACAAAGAAAGGUUGCUGCCAUGUGCAAGCCCGCGAGCCUGUUUCAGGUGAAACAGUGCAGAUCUGGUGCAAGGCCAGGGCCGACGGUUAGAGUCCGGAUGGAAGAGGAUG